rnacentral:lncRNA from 1 species
CUCCCAUCCCGGCUGAGCCACGGCUGCUGGGACUCUGCCCCCGCCGUGCCGGGGAACCGCCCGUCCUCGCUGCGGGAGGAAGCGCCGCUCACCUGCGAGCAGCCGGGCGGAGGUUGGGGGUCCUCUGCCUCGCCUCUGGUCCGGCGCCGGCGGGACUGGGGCGCUGGGGAGGACGGGAGGAUCUGCCCGCUCCCGAUUGCUAAACUGCUAAGCGAGAUAAUGACGAGAGGAAAAGGAUUGACGAAUGGCUUGGGUGGGGACAGGUGAUUUCAGGGGUAAAUAUGCGCGGCGCGGUUGGGCGAGGAGAGGUGCGGGAGCCGAUAGCCGCCUGCAGAUGUUUGGGGAAGGUAAUCCCCGGGCCGGGGGUGGGGUUUGCUCAGAGCAAAAAGGCACGAUGAAGAGCAACGGGAUUAAACGAGUGAGAGGGACGCGUUUAGUGAGAUUACGGGGCGGCAGACCCCCCAGACCCUCCCCGACGCUGGAUCAGUAGAUCAGAUCAUUCGGCUCGCUGGCUGCAAGGAGCGCAGCAGGACGGGACAGCAGCUCCUGCCUCUGCAGCAAGCGGGAGGCUCCUCUGCCCCCGGCACAGACACCUCUCGGUCCUGGGCUCGGCCCGAGUGGGGUUAAGAAGCGAGCCUUUGCCCCUCUGUAGGAGCAGGGAGCCAAGCAGCACACCUCAGCGCUGGCCGGGUGGCUGCCAUCGCACGGACAACAGGUAGGUGGUCGUGCCAGAGCCCGGGGCAGCUUUGUGGCGUGCAUGCUACGUUGCUGUAUUCCAAUCCCGUAUUCUGAUCAGCCCGGAGAUUUUACAGCCUUUAAAGUCUGUAGUGAGUUUCUUCAAAGAUGAAAUGCGCCGCUGCGAACACGCCUAUGCCGGCUCUGCAUUGGAGCCGUGUGGCUUUGAAGCUGGGUGAGCGCCUCCUGUCCUGAGGGCUGCAGGGCUGAGCUGGACAGGGUGUAAUAGCACGCUGUCAGCUCCGGCUCCUCAUUCAGCGGUGCCCGGCAGCAGCCAGCACACCCGGUAAUGCUUGCUCACUUCUGAGGGAAGAUUGUACCCUGAUCCCCGGGCUCGGGCUCACCCCGCAGCAGAUAGUGCUCUUCUUUAAACGUUAAGUAUUGUGGCGGAUGAGUCCAUCCUACUGCUUCCUGGGAAGAAAAGAUGUGUUACUAACAUGGGAAAAUCUGUCCUUUCACAGUAAUUGGGUGUAAUAACAUCUUACGUGUCCCCUUUCAUCCUGCAGUGCUGCUGAUGCCUUCUCCAGACGAGACGCCCAAACAAGGCAGCUACCACCGGAACAGAGCAAGACAACUUGUUUAUCAGACAGAGGAAUGCUCCUCAGCAGUGCAGGGCAGGAGGAAGAGGGGGCUGCUGUCUCCAGGCCCAGCGUAGGCAGUUCAGAGAUGGCCUGCAUUGUUCUACAUCAGGAUAACGAGGCGCUUCCGCAGCCCCUUUCCUGUGGGAAUCCCAACAGGUUGUUGUCCUCCCCCUGCAGGAGGGGAAGUGUGGCACCAGGGGGGUGAAACGUCCCAUCUGACAGAUGUCUGCACUAAGUAGUACGUUCUUCUCUCCGCCUUCGGUGCUUUUCCUAGUCUUGAGCACCAGCCUUCACCUCUUCAGCCUUCCCUCCCACGGUAGAUGCAAGCAACGUGCGAGAUAUCUCCUAAGAAUGGAGAAAUGAGACAGCUCAACGCUGCGAUUUAGUAACAGAAGCAAAAGGGGACGUUAAUGGAAAACGAUUGCAGCUCUGAAGCAAGCCAGGAUAACCAACUUGCACUUCGGCUUUGUCAGACAGACCUCGCCUUCCUUCCACAGUGAGUCCUACAGGGAGGUGAACCCAGCCAGCCUGAUUCACUGAGCCCUUCCAGGACCCUGUUCCUGCAGGUCUCUAUCCACAGAGAGUAAGGCUUGAGAAGGAAGGAAGGUGCAGGUGCACGCCUGGACCUCAUCCCAGUCUGGCUUUGGGCGUCGAUGGAGUGACUGCUGUCAGUUGUGAGGGUCACUUCUGCACACAUACAGCCCCAGCUACCAAUUCCUGAGCACCUAAAUGAGAGAACCAUGCUCUCGCAGUUUGCUGGCAAGAUAUAGCCAGCAAAUUCUGGCAGUGAAUGUGGAUGCUGGUAUAUAAAGAGAGGAUCCUGCCAAUGGGACUAAAGGGUGUUGGUGCUUUUUCCAGUGCAGGUUAUUUGGCUUUGAGUACUAGUAAAAGUUGCACUAAUAAAAUGCCUCUAUUGUGUGCAGACUCUAUCUACAGUGGGAGUGUUUGCUGGUAUCACCAGAUCCUAUAUCAGUAACUUUUUAAGGGCAGACAAGGCCAC